AAAAGAAACAGUCAUAGAAAAUGAAGAAGUUAAAUUGUUCUGGGAAUUUAGAAUCCAAACAGACAGGCGCCUGCCACAUAACAUCCCAGACUUAACAAUUGUGGAUAAGAAAUACAAAAAUGUCUGGAUAGAGGACAUGGCUGAACCUG